UUUGACGUUAGCGGCGGACGGGUGAGUAACACGUAGGUAACCUACCUAUAAGACUGGGAUAACUUCGGGAAACCGGAGCUAAUACCGGAUAAUAUUUCGAACCGCAUGGUUCGAUAGUGAAAGAUGGCUUUGCUAUCACUUAUAGAUGGACCUGCGCCGUAUUAGCUAGUUGGUAAGGUAACGGCUUACCAAGGCAACGAUACGUAGCCGACCUGAGAGGGUGAUCGGCCACACUGGAACUGAGACACGGUCCAGACUCCUACGGGAGGCAGCAGUAGGGAAUCUUCCGCAAUGGGCGAAAGCCUGACGGAGCAACGCCGCGUGAGUGAUGAAGGUCUUCGGAUCGUAAAACUCUGUUAUUAGGGAAGAACAAACGUGUAAGUAACUGUGCACGUCUUGACGGUACCUAAUCAGAAAGCCACGGCUAACUACGUGCCAGCAGCCGCGGUAAUACGUAGGUGGCAAGCGUUAUCCGGAAUUAUUGGGCGUAAAGCGCGCGUAGGCGGUUUUUUAAGUCUGAUGUGAAAGCCCACGGCUCAACCGUGGAGGGUCAUUGGAAACUGGAAAACUUGAGUGCAGAAGAGGAAAGUGGAAUUCCAUGUGUAGCGGUGAAAUGCGCAGAGAUAUGGAGGAACACCAGUGGCGAAGGCGACUUU
rnacentral:rRNA from 1 species